rnacentral:rRNA from 1 species
CCCUUAGAUGUCCUGGGCUGCACGCGCGCUACACUGGAAGUUACGGAUUGAGAUACUACCUUGUCCGAAAUGGUCCGGGUAAUCACCUAAAAGCUUGUCAUAAUUGGAAUGGAUUAUUGUAACUAGUAAUCCUGAACGAGGAAUUCCUAGUAAGUCCCAGUCAACAGCUGGUACUGAUUACGUCCCUGCCCUUUGUACACACCGCCCGUCGCUACUACCGAUUGGAUGGUUUAGUGAGAUCCUCGGAUUGGUCCCGGCGCGGCCUCUGGUCGUGCCGGAGUGCCGAAAAGAAUGUCGAACUUGAUCAUCUAGAGGAAGUAAAAGUCGUAACA